rnacentral:rRNA from 1 species
AUUGAACGCUGGCGGCAGGCCUAACACAUGCAAGUAGAACGAGUGGCGGACGGGUGAGUAAUGUAGGGGAAACUGCCUGAUGGAGGGGGAUAACUACUGGAAACGGUAGCUAAUACCGCAUACAAUCGGAUGUGCCCAGAUGGGAUUAGCUAGUAGGUGGGGUAAAGGCUCACCUAGGCGACGAGCCCUAGCUGGUCUGAGAGGAUGACCAGCCACGCUGCAACGUAGACACGGUCCAGCCUCCUACGGGAGUCAGCAGUGGGGAAUAUUGCACAAUGGGCGCAAGCCUGACGCAGCCAUGCCGCGUGUAUGAAGAAGGCCUUCGGGUUGUCAAGUACUUUCAGCGGGGAGGCGUUACCCGCAGAAGAUACACCGGCUAACUCCGUGCCAGCAGCCGCGGUAAUUC